rnacentral:snRNA from 1 species
UUUUCCUUAGGCAAACCGUAAAAGCAUACUAAAAUUGAAAAGAUACAGAGAAGAUUAGCAUGGCUNCUGCACAAGGAUGACAUGCAAACAUGUGAAGAUUUCCAUAUUUUU